rnacentral:rRNA from 1 species
GAUGAACGCUGGCGGCGUGCCUAACACAUGCAAGUCGAGCGAUUCUCUUCGGAGAAGAGCGGCGGACGGGUGAGUAACGCGUGGGUAACCUGCCCUGUACACACGGAUAACAUACCGAAAGGUAUGCUAAUACGAGAUAAUAUGCUUUUAUCGCAUGGUAGAAGUAUCAAAGCUCCAGCGGUACAGGAUGGACCCGCGUCUGAUUAGCUAGUUGGGAAGGUAACGGCUUACCAAGGCGACGCUCAGUAGCCGACCUGAGAGGGUGAUCGGCCACAUUGGAACUGAGACACGGUCCAAACUCCUACGGGAGGCAGCAGUGGGGAAUAUUGCACAAUGGGCGAAAGCCUGAUGCAGCAACGCCGCGUGAGCGAUGAAGGCCUUCGGGUCGUAAAGCUCUGUCCUCAAGGAAGAUAAUGACGGUACUUGAGGAGGAAGCCCCGGCUAACUACGUGCCAGCAGCCGCAGUAA